UCCUCGAGAACACCUUACUUUGUAUGGUCAAGUGGAUAACGUAAAUAUUUUAAGGUGACCUGGAAAACGCGUUAAAUACAUGUAAUAUUGUUUAGAGGAGGGAGUGUAUCUCUCUGACAUUGUCAGCAUCCUUUCUUUUUAAAUUUGUAGAAAAUCGCCAAAUACUUAGAGGAAACAGAUACCCACAUGUGAAGGCAUAAGACAAGAAAACCAAUGAACCUGUGUACCUAUAUCUGGCCUUAAAUAUUUGUUUAAGUUUUGCUAUAAAAUAUAAUAUAAUAUGAACAGAAUUAAUAGAAAUCCAUC
rnacentral:lncRNA from 1 species